UCAUACCCAAGAAGCAACCUGGAGGGCAGGAGCGAGCCGGGCCAAACGGCCAUGGAGCUGAGAGUCGGGAACAGGUACCGGCUGGGCCGGAAGAUAGGCAGUGGCUCCUUCGGAGACAUCUAUCUCGGUACGGACAUUGCUGCAGGAGAACAAGUUGCCAUGAAGCUUGAAUGUGUCAAAACCAAACAUCCUCAGCUUCACAUCGAGAGCCGAAUCUACAAAAUGAUACAGGGAGGAGUGGGCAUCCCCACCAUUAGGUGGUGUGGGGCUGAGGGGGACUACAACGUCAUCGUGAUGGAGCUGCUGGGGCCCAGCCUGGAGGACCUCUUCAACUUCUGCUCCAGGAAGUUCAGUCUCAAGACAGUUCUGCUGCUCGCCGACCAAAUGAUUAGUCGUAUUGAAUACCUGCAUUCGAAGAACUUCAUUCACCAAGACAUCAAGCCAGACAACUUUCUCAUGGGGCUGGGGAAGAAAGGCAACCUGGUCUACAUCAUCGACUUUGGGCUGGCCAAGAAGUACCGGGACGCAAGGACCCACCAGCACAUCCCCUACCGCGAAAAUAAGAACCUGACAGGGACGGCGCGGUAUGCCUCCAUCAACACCCACCUCGGCAUUGAGCAGUCUCGACGAGAUGACUUGGAGUCUUUGGGUUACGUGCUGAUGUACUUCAACCUGGGCACUCUCCCCUGGCAGGGGCUGAAGGCUGCCACCAAGGGGCAGAAGUAUGAAAGGAUUAGUGAGAAGAAAAUGUCCACUCCCAUUGAAGUGUUGUGUAAAGGCUACCCUCCUGAAUUUGCCACAUACCUGAGUUUCUGCCGCUCCUUGCGUUUUGAUGAUAAACCCGACUACUCAUACCUGAGGCAACUCUUCAGGAACCUGUUCCAUCGCCAAGGCUUCUCCUAUGACUACGUGUUUGACUGGAACAUGCUGAAGUUUGGCGCCACCCGGGCUGCUGAUGAUACCGAGCGAGAACGGCGGGAUCGAGAGGAGAGGAUGAGACACUCCCGGAACCCAACCACCCGUGGCCUCCCUUCCGCGGCCUCCGGCCGUCCGUGGGUCACCCAAGAAGUGGCUACCCCUACACCUCUCACCCCUACCUCACACACGGUUAACACCUCUCCUAGGCCGGUCUCUGGCAUGGAACGGGAGCGGAAAGUGAGUAUGCGGCUGCACCGUGGAGCCCCUGGUGAUCCGACAGGCCGACAAGAUACUUCUCGCAUGUCCACCUCACAGAUUCCCGGUCGGGCAGCUUCCAGCGGUCUUCAGUCUGUCGUGCACCGAUGA